AUGCAAGUCGAACGAUGAACCCCAGCUUGCUGGGGGGAUUAGUGGCGAACGGGUGAGUAACACGUGAGUAACCUGCCCUUAACUCUGGGAUAAGCCUUGGAAACGAGGUCUAAUACUGGAUAUUGACUUUUCCCCGCAUGGGGUUUGGUUGAAAGAUUUAUUGGUUUUGGAUGGACUCGCGGCCUAUCAGCUUGUUGGUGAGGUAAUGGCUCACCAAGGCGACGACGGGUAGCCGGCCUGAGAGGGUGACCGGCCACACUGGGACUGAGACACGGCCCAGACUCCUACGGGAGGCAGCAGUGGGGAAUAUUGCACAAUGGGCGAAAGCCUGAUGCAGCGACGCCGCGUGAGGGAUGACGGCCUUCGGGUUGUAAACCUCUUUCAGUAGGGAACAAGGCCAGCAUUUUUGUUGGUUGAGGGUACUUGCAGAAGAAGCGCCGGCUAACUACGUGCCAGCAGCCGCGGUAAUACGUAGGGCGCAAGCGUUAUCCGGAAUUAUUGGGCGUAAAGAGCUCGUAGGCGGUUUGUCGCGUCUGCCGUGAAAGUCCGGGGCUCAACCCCGGAUCUGCGGUGGGUACGGGCAGACUAGAGUGAUGUAGGGGAGACUGGAAUUCCUGGUGUAGCGGUGAAAUGCGCAGAUAUCAGGAGGAACACCGAUGGCGAAGGCAGGUCUCUGGGCAUUAACUGACGCUGAGGAGCGAAAGCAUGGGGAGCGAACAGGAUUAGAUACCCUGGUAGUCCAUGCCGUAAACGUUGGGCACUAGGUGUGGGGGACAUUCCACGUUUUCCGCGCCGUAGCUAACGCAUUAAGUGCCCCGCCUGGGGAGUACGGCCGCAAGGCUAAAACUCAAAGGAAUUGACGGGGGCCCGCACAAGCGGCGGAGCAUGCGGAUUAAUUCGAUGCAACGCGAAGAACCUUACCAAGGCUUGACAUGAACCGGAAA
rnacentral:rRNA from 1 species